rnacentral:hammerhead_ribozyme from 2 species
CGCCGAAACCCGGGACAGCAACCGGGUCCGCGGGAAACGGUCAAUCCGCGCUGAUGAGGCAGACCACA